GUGACGCAUCUGGCUGCAAUUUCAUGUUUACAUGGAAAGAUGUUGGUGAUAAGAUAGAGAUGGCGUUGGAAAUGGUUUUUGGUAAUGAAUUAAAUAAAUGGACGGCAAUAGCUUUAUCUGACGAUAUAUUAAUGGGUGAUGACAGUGUUAUUGAAUGCGUGUCUGUAGAUGGUAAUGUGAAAGCCUUUCAGUCGUUUAAUGAUAAAACUGCCAAACGAAACAGGCGACUUGAAAAUCCUAAUAUUGGUAUGGUUCUUCAAUCAGCUAGUUUUGAAGAUGGUGUAUUAAAGUGCAAGUUAACACGAGAGAAGAGCGUGAAGGGAAAUGACAAGGUCUUUGAUCUAAAUGACGAUUGGUAUUUGUUGGCUACUUAUGGAAAUUCCCGUGCAGAUUUCGGAAUAAGCGACCAUGUUGAUUCUCUGACAUGGUCAACAGAUGGCCCUAUUGAUAUUCAGAAAGUCUCUGAUAAUGGAAUGGUUACGACUAAAUAUCCACUUAUGAAAGCUCAUGGAAUUCUUAUGGUCAUAUCCUGGAUGGUUAGUGCAGCAAUUGGGUUGAUAACAGCUCGGUAUUUGAAACCUUUCUGGCCGAACUCAUCUCUUGGUGGUCAGAAGGUAUGGAUUCAGAUUCAUCGUUGGAGUAUGGUUUUAACAUUAUUGAUUUCGUCAAUUGGUUUUAUUUUGGUAUUUAUCGAUAAUAAAGGUUACAGCCAAAUUAUUGGCGACAAUUACAAGAAAGCUCAUCCUAUAAUUGGAAUAAUAGUGACUAUUAUGGUUUACGGAAAUGCUUUUAUGUCGUACUUUAGGACUGGUCCAGGCACUCCGUACAGACCAUUGUUUAACAGGGCUCAUUUUGCUGUUGGCACCGGCUCUUAUGUCCUAGCAGUUAUUUGCAUAUUUUUUGGUGUCCAGUUAAGCAAGUUGGAGCUACCAGAAUCAAGUCUACAUAUUUUGACAGCGUAUGCUGUGUGGGUAUCUCUAGCCUAUAUACUAAUGGAACUAAUCCCAUAUAUCCCAAGACAUGAUAGUCAAGCUAUAGACUUAGAGAUGACUGCGGUCGAUGCUCCGGAAAAAACAAAGACAAAGCCAAACCCUUCCCCUACCACUAAUAUUGGAAUAAAGAAAUUCGUCCUAUUCGUCCAUAUUAUGGCUGUACUUGGGUUGUCCAUUGCCCUCAUAUGUCUGAUAGUCGUGAACUAAUCUGAUGUUACACUCCGUAGCUCAUGCUAAGAUGGCAUAGUUGCUUUGGAUUUAAAGCAAUCAACCAGAACAGACAGCAAUACCAACAAGAACACUAACACGUUUUGUACAGAUUAACUUAUCUUCCAAACAAAAUUUUCGUACGUAAGAAGCCACUUGAUAUUCAACACAGUCUGUUUCUUGUGGACUGUUUAACAAAUAAUCGGGAUUUCGAAAAUUUUGCAGUGCGACCUUUACUUUACAGAAAUACACAUCAGUGCGGUAUUAUAACAACCGAUUAUUGUUAAAUCUCAAACAAGAGUUCAGGCUUAGAGUUAUUUCUAAUCCACACAAAACCCUAUAGUAUACAUUUUGUAGCAAACUUCAUUGGUUCAAGUGAAAUUUGGUGAAAUUCACCCUCAAAAGAUUUGAUAUUUCCAGCACCACUUUUAACUCAUUAUCUGUACUUGGUGUUUUAGUAGCUCAUCCUUAGAUGGUAUAGUUACGUAUUUUAAGGUAAAUAUGUCUGUUCACAAACUGAGCUCAUACUUAGAAGGUAUAGCUCAUAACUUAAUUAAGAUCGAGAUCUAGUUUAAAGCUCAUACUUAGACGGUAUAGCUUUUUACACAUAAAAGAUCUGAUACGUAUUGAGAGCUCAUACUUAGAUGGUAUAGCCACUGAGAUGGAAUUUGUGAGUCUGUAGUAAGCUCAUACUUAGACGGUAUAGCUUUGCGGAAAAUUGUAGCUCAUACGUUAGAGACCGAAUUUUUGAGUCCGUAGUAAGCUCAUAAUUAGGCGGUAUGGCUCAUACUUUAGAUGGUAUAGUGACAAAAGGGGUGGAAUUUGUUGUAAGUUAUACUUACAUGUAGACGAUGUAGCUUUCCGGAAAACGGAGGCUCAGAUGGUAUAGCGACUGGGGGAGGAGUUUGUGGGUCUAAAUAGUAAGUUCAUACUUAGACGGUAUAGCUUUGCGCAAAACUGGAGCUAAUACUGUAUCUAGAUGAAUUUGUGAAUCUGCAGUAAGCUUAUAAUACUUAAAAAGGUUUAGCUUGAAGCCCACACAUUAGAGACGGAAUUUGUGAGACUGUAUUAGGCUCAUUAGACGGUAUAGCUUUGUGGAAAACUGAAAUUCAAACUUUAGACUGUAUAGCUUCAGCAUCUAAAAGACCCAAACUGGGAUCCAAUAGUAAAUGCGGGAGGACCGCACUGUAUAUAGCAAUUAACUCGAAAUAUAUUAGUAGAUAAUUACGCGAACAAAUUCGGAAAAAAAGAUCUCCACACAACUGGGACUCAUAUUACAGCGACAAGGAAUACAAUGUAACUUCAUUUAAAUGUACCAAAAAAACCCAACAAUUAAAUGUGUGUCGAGCUAAAUUUUAA